AGAAUUCGCCCUUAGAGUUUGAUCCUGGCUCAGGAUGAACGCUGGCGGUAUGCUUAACACAUGCAAGUCGAACGGUGUCUUCGGACAUAGUGGCGGACGGGUGAGUAACGCGUGAGAAUCUGGCUUCAGGUCGGGGACAACCACUGGAAACGGUGGCUAAUACCGGAUAUGCCGAGAGGUGAAAGAUUAAUUGCCUGAAGAUGAGCUCGCGUCUGAUUAGCUAGUUGGGAGUGUAAGAGACUACCAAGGCGACGAUCAGUAGCUGGUCUGAGAGGAUGAUCAGCCACACUGGGACUGAGACACGGCCCAGACUCCUACGGGAGGCAGCAGUGGGGAAUUUUCCGCAAUGGGCGAAAGCCUGACGGAGCAAUACCGCGUGAGGGAGGAAGGCUCUUGGGUUGUAAACCUCUUUUCUCAAGGAAGAAAAAAAUGACGGUACUUGAGGAAUAAGCAUCGGCUAACUCCGUGCCAGCAGCCGCGGUAAUACGGAGGAUGCAAGCGUUAUCCGGAAUGAUUGGGCGUAAAGCGUCCGCAGGUGGCUGUGAAAGUCUGCUGUUAAAGAAUGAGGCUCAACCUCAUCAGAGCAGUGGAAACUACACGGCUAGAGUGCGUUCGGGGUAGAGGGAAUUCCUGGUGUAGCGGUGAAAUGCGUAGAUAUCAGGAAGAACACCGGUGGCGAANGCGCUCUACUAGGCCGCAACUGACACUGAGGGACGAAAGCUAGGGGAGCGAAUGGGAUUAGAUACCCCAGUAGUCCUAGCCGUAAACGAUGGAUACUAGGCGUGGCUUGUAUCGACCCGAGCCGUGCCGUAGCUAACGCGUUAAGUAUCCCGCCUGGGGAGUACGCACGCAAGUGUGAAACUCAAAGGAAUUGACGGGGGCCCGCACAAGCGGUGGAGUAUGUGGUUUAAUUCGAUGCAACGCGAAGAACCUUACCAAGACUUGACAUGUCGCGAACUUCGGUGAAAGCUGAAGGUGCCUUCGGGAGCGCGAACACAGGUGUGCAUGGCUGUCGUCAGCUCGUGUCGUGAGAUGUUGGGUUAAGUCCCGCAACGAGCGCAACCCUCGUUUUUAGUUGCCAGCAUUAAGUUGGGCACUCUAAAGAGACUGCCGGUGACAAACCGGAGGAAGGUGGGGAUGACGUCAAGUCAGCAUGCCCCUUACGUCUUGGGCUACACACGUACUACAAUGCUACGGACAAAGGGCAGCUACACAGCGAUGUGAUGCAAAUCUCAGAAACCGUAGCUCAGUUCAGAUCGCAGGCUGCAACUCGCCUGCGUGAAGGAGGAAUCGCUAGUAAUUGCAGGUCAGCAUACUGCAGUGAAUUCGUUCCCGGGCCUUGUACACACCGCCCGUCACACCAUGGAAGCUGGCAACGCCCGAAGUCAUUACUCCAACUUUUCGGAGAGGAGGAUGCCUAAGGCAGUGCUGGUGACUGGGGUGAAGUCGUAACAAGGUAACCAAGGGCGAAUUC
rnacentral:rRNA from 1 species